rnacentral:rRNA from 1 species
UACGGGGGGCAAGCGUUGUUCGGAAUUACUGGGCGUAAAGGGCUCGUAGGCGGCCAACUAAGUCGGACGUGAAAUCCCUCGGCUUAACCGGGAACUGCGUCCGAUACUGGAUGGCUUGAGUUCGGGAGAGGAUGCGGAAUUCCAGGUGUAGCGGUGAAAUGCGUAGAUAAUCUGGAGGAACACCGGUGGCGAAGGCGGCAUCCUGGACCGACACUGACGCUGAGGAGCGAAAGCCAGGGAGCAAACGGG